AAGUCGUAACAAGGUUUCCGUAGGUGAACCUGCGGAAGGAUCAUUAAUAAAAUUUUACCCAAAUAUCAACCUUUUGUGCACCAGUUUUUUUGUGUUUGACUUGAUAUUUUUUUCUCCGUCAAGAAAAGGGGGGCCUGGGUGGCAGUGGAAAACCGCUGCCCUGACCUGCCUGGCCUGGACGGAGGAAAAAAUAUUGAUGAAAAUUCUAUAAACGUUUGUUUUUUAUCGAUUGAUGGCCUGAAGUCAUUGGUGUAAUUACCAUGGAUUAAAAAUGAUAUAAACAACUUUUAACAACGGAUCUCUUGGCUCUC
rnacentral:misc_RNA from 1 species